rnacentral:SRP_RNA from 1 species
ACUGGGCACGGUGGCGUGUGCCUGAAGUCCCAGCUACUCGGGAGGCUGAGGUGGGAGGAUCACUUGAGCCCAGGAGUUCUGGGCUGUAGCGCGCUAUGCUGAUCGAGUGUCCACACUAAGUUCGGCAUCAAUAUGGUGACCUCCUGGUAGCGGGGGACCAGCAGGUUGCCUGAGGAGGGGUGAACCGGCCCAAGUUGGAAACGGAGCAGGUCAGAACUCUGGUGCUGAUCAGUAGCGGGAUUGCGCCUGUGAAUAGCCACUGCACUCCAGCCUGGGCAACAUAGCAAGACCCCAUCCAU